ensembl:lncRNA
AUGAAUCCGUGUUCCUCUUUGUGGAGAUCUCCUUCCACCUGCCCAGCACCGUACAGCCAUGUUGGGCCCGCUGCCUCCUGGCUUCUCGCGGGCCUGGCUGCAGCCUGGUGCAGGGCCAGCCCUUUCUGCGCCAGGAGGCCAUGGGGGGCUUCUGCCAGGGCUCUGCUCUUUACUGCUGGUCUACUGACUGCUCUGGUCCUGUGUUCUUUGCUGCUGAGAAACCCGAAGAUGUCUUCCUGUGCAAGCCGAAGGAGUGCUUGGACUUCUGAAAGGUUUCAAGCAAGUCAGUAUCUUGCUAAGCAAGAGAGAGAAUACCGGAUAAAUAAGCAUGUGUCCUGCGGAAAUAGCUGCUCAGACACUAAAGGUUAAAAUAAGUCUUUGGUUGUGUACAGACAUUCUGCAAAUGAUAAGAUUAUAUGAGCUACCAAUUAAAUUAUAAAAUUAUAAGCUACCACUGAAAGGGUAGCUUACCUGUUUUUUUUUGUUUUCCCCAAUAUGAAUACUGCAACAUGCAGAGGCCGUUGAUAAUUGAAUUAGAACCAUGUCUACACUUGUAACACCAUUGCUAUAAGGAUCUUAAUUGCCUAUUACUAAUUUCUAUUAAAAAAAAAAAAAAGGCUUAACAAGACCACAGAUGAAGUUUCUGAAAAGCCAAAGAGUUUAAGUCUUAACCUGAAGUGAGCCCUAGCACAAGAUUUCAGGCCAAGUCAGAAUCUGCCUAUUCUUAAAGUCCUAGGCAUGCUGUUGAGAUGCUGUAAAGAGAGACGGGUACAAAGGCAAAGCCAGUUUCCUUUCCUUUUAUCUUCAAAAGAAGCAUGAUAUCAGCUUCACCUUGAGCUAGACUUUGCCCUCUGAUCUGAUAAAAUCAUUAUUUGCCACUAAGAUACAGGAGAAUUCUCCUACCUGCUCCUGCACCCCUGCUGUGCACAGUGGCAUUCUGUCUUCAGUUAUGGCUCAUGUGGAGCUGCGCCUUGGUGUCUAGCAGCUUCUGAGUGCCAGCAGAAGCCUGCUAUGGUACCUGAGAUGGUAUCUGUGAUUAACUUCUCAUACGUGGUGGCCAUAGAGGGCUUGACAUCACAAGUUAAGGGCAGUGAGUGUUUCAUCCUCCAUCCUGAAUCUGCUGCCAUUCACUGACUGAAUUAGAGAGUCAACUUUAGUUUUAUGUAUGAGAGUUGUCAACUGGAGGAAUUAUUAGGCUUUUGUCAUUAAGUGAGACUUAACGAAAAUAUACCAAGAAUCAAUGGUAUAGCUGACUUUUCAGUCAGAAUUAGAGAAAUGGUCAUUAUGAGUACUCACCCCCUCCACUCCUCUCACUUUUUCAUGUGCAGCCCCUCAUCAUAUCACAAGAAAAAUCCUCCCUUGGGCAGAGCAGUUGACAGCAGCUCCUUGAUCUGCUGAUUCUGAUCCCAGCAGCAUUCUGAGCAAGGGGGGAAAAACAAGUGUGUUUGAGCUGUAACAAACUGAGUUGUGGUACCUACCAGCAUUUAAACUGAUUGUCUUUCAAAAUAUUUAAGUAUGAGCAGGUGUUCAUGUAAAUGGUGGUUCUCUAAUUUGUCUAAUAAUGUUGAUUUUUUUUUCCUGCUCCUAUUACUGACUUCACUGUUUUGCUGUUGGCAUCCAGAUUGAUGGUCAGACCAUUGUUUUUAGUUCAUCAAAAGGAAUUGUUUUAUCUAAUAACAUCCAAUAAUGACAUUUAUAAUUUUCUGCAUGUAAAAGUCACUCAAAGGAGUUCUGCAUGCAUGAGGUAAAAUACAUGACUGAGGGAGGUAACCAUAUAGAUGACCUAAUCAGCUCAAGCUGUUCAAUGAAAUAAGCAGUGUGAUGUGUUGGAAAAUAUAGGUAGCUUUUCACUGCUGGAAACUGCAAGCUAAAGAAAGUGUCUUUUAAAGUUCUUUUUAAUAUUUAUAGUGGAUCUACAUAUAAAGAUUUUGUAACCAAGCAUAUAUGCUUUAAGGUACGCAGCAAACUGAGUGCAUUCCUGGCAAUAUCAUACAUCAUAUAUAGAGUAUGCACUCAAAGGAGAGCAGUAGGUCUGAGCAGCUUAUUUUUAACUGGUGGUGUUAUCGUAACAGAGGUAGCUGGGCUAUUUACCCGAGUAGCAAGAAUUUCUUUGGUUUGGCCAACCGUGCCUUGCAGUCACAGAAACUGCAGGUAAGGAGGGAGAAAGUGCGACAAGGAUGGCUGCAGAGCAGCUUUUUGUAAACCGCCAGUUCUGAGGCACAUGAAGGGCUUGAGCAUUGCUGCUUGUCUUCUUUGCCCUGAGCUGGCCCCAGUCGCUACGUGCUCAGGCAGCAGAAAGUCUCUGGAUUUCAGUGAAAUCCAACCAUAUACCCUUUCCUGACUUCUGGCUGCCUCCUGCAAAGUGAGUGGCACAGAACAAGCUCUGUGGGCCUCAAACAUCACAAGGCUUUCAGAAUAGCGUUUUUCCUUGCUAUCUGUAUAAGGCGAGUCAGCCCAGUCGGGAUGCCUGUUUUGGUCCGUGUUAUUCUAAACUGUAUCUGACCUGCUAUGUGAGUUGGUGUGGGGGAUCACGGUGAGCAGGCAAUGGGGGACCCAUCUCCUCUUCCAGGACUCAGUGGGAUUAUGGCCCUAAGCUAACAGUUACGCUGAGCUGACCAGCCACCCAUUUCCUUUUCCUUGGUUUACUUUCUGGCAAGGAUUUUUAUUUUAAUAUUUAGUUUUGAGGAAGUGUUAUAAAUAGCAAUAGUAACUGAUAGCGUGCUAAUGCAACCAAACUGCAUUUCACUCACUUUUACCAGGACUACUUUGAAACUUUGGUUUUCAAAAACAACCUUAACUGCUGCUGCCCAGAGAGAUAGGGAAUACAACAGAGGAUGUGACCUUUCUGAAUGUUUUCUUAUCAGGCAGCGUAAGUACUGUAUGUCCCACUAAGCUGCUUCAAUAGAACCUUGUCAAGUUAUCACACUACUCGACAUGUUGCUGAUAAUGAAUACAUAAAAGCUUUAGAUAUUGAAGACUCAGAGGAAAUAAAUAAGAUUUACUGAAAAACUGCUCA